GCAUUAGCUAGUUGGUAAGGUAACGGCUUACCAAGGCGAUGAUGCAUAGCCGAGUUGAGAGACUGAUCGGCCACAAUGGAACUGAGACACGGUCCAUACUCCUACGGGAGGCAGCAGUAGGGAAUCUUCCACAAUGGGCGCAAGCCUGAUGGAGCAACACCGCGUGAGUGAAGAAGGGUUUCGGCUCGUAAAGCUCUGUUGUUGGAGAAGAACGUGCGUGAGAGUAACUGUUCACGCAGUGACGGUAUCCAACCAGAAAGUCACGGCUAACUACGUGCCAGCAGCCGCGGUAAUACGUAGGUGGCAAGCGUUAUCCGGAUUUAUUGGGCGUAAAGCGAGCGCAGGCGGUUGCUUAGGUCUGAUGUGAAAGCCUUCGGCUUAACCGAAGAAGUGCAUCGGAAACCGGGCGACUUGAGUGCAGAAGAGGACAGUGGAACUCCAUGUGUAGCGGUGGAAUGCGUAGAUAUAUGGAAGAACACCAGUGGCGAAGGCGGCUGUCUGGUCUGCAACUGACGCUGAGGCUCGAAAGCAUGGGUAGCGAACAGGAUUAGAUACCCUGGUAGUCCAUGCCGUAAACGAUGAGUGCUAGGUGUUGGAG
rnacentral:rRNA from 1 species